GACACAGAAGAGCCUGAGAGGCAGCCAGUGUUCCUGCCUCCACCUUAGAGCAGAGCAGUCUGCAGCCGAGGGCACCAGAGAGAGCCUCCUGUCAGAUGAGUUUCCCAGAGAGCCAAGGCCAAGGAGCAAGUGACCCAGAUUGGCUGGAAACUGACCCUGGGAAUCUAGAAAAAGAGCAAACUGGUCUGGAUUGUUUUUGCAAAAUGAAAUGGUUUUCUGGCUUCUUUGUGAUGGUAGAAAUAAUAUAUGCUUACUGUAAAAAGUUCAAAUAAUGCAGAAGCAUAUGAGAAAGAUCUUUGGAUCCCCGCCCUCUCCCCCUGCCCCGCACCGUGAGGCCCCCCCCCCAUGGAGAGAAGAGCUGCCCUACGAAGGCCCCUCCCCCCAGCCUUGCCCAUCCUUUGGGACAAAAACAGCAGUUCCCAUGACAUCAUCUCCUGCCCUGAGGCCGCAGUGUUGGGGACAAUGGCAGGACCGUGGACUUGGCAUCUUAUGAUUCUGACAUCAGCUGAGUUUCGAAAGGGUUUGGCCUGGAGCUGGGACUUGCCUCCGAUCAGCUCAAGUCCUCAAGGUCCUCCGUGGCAAAACCGAGCAGACCAGAGAACCUUCUUCUUAGGUUCUUGGGGAAGUGGGGGGAUUCGAUGAGUUCCUAGAUGCGAAGUACUUACCGUUCCUGUCUCAGCAGUGAGACCGCUGGUAUCAUCGCCCUUGUCAGCAUCAUUGUCAAUGUAAGAAGGAAUUCGACUCUUUUGGUGGAUGAUCCAAAAUCAGAAGACUUGUGUGGAUCAUCCAGUGACCGUCGCCUUUGGACCACAGGCUGUCCCAGAAUCCUUGCAUGGAGAGAGAGAACUUGGAUAUGCAUCCGGCUGGCUUUGAGAAGAGAAAAUCUUGCUGACCUUGAUCAAGGUGGAUCUGAGGAGUUCCUAUUGUGGCACAGCAGAAACAAAUCCGACUAGUAUCCAUGAGGAUGCAUGUUCGAUCCCUGGCCUCGCUCAGUGGGUUAAGGAUCUGGCAUUGCUGUGAGCUGUGGUGUAGGUCACAGACAUUGCUUGGAUCUAGCGUUGCUGUGGCUGUGGCAUAGGCCAGCCACUGCCGCUCUGAUCCAGCCCCCAGCCUGGGAACUUCAUGUGCCGUGGGUGCAGCCCUAAAAAAAAAAAAAAAAAAAAAAAAAAAAAGAUGGAUCUGACUAUAAUCAAGAAGGCGUUUCCCCAUGAGCAGCUGUUCCACCUGUGUUCUCUGAGGUCCACACUGGCUGUCCUUGCCUGUAGGACAUUUUGCUCUAUUGCAUUUUUUCUGCAUGUGGAAGUACUAUAACGGCUAAGUGACAUUUCUGCCUCUCACCAUCCUUAUUUCCUUUGUGGGAACUUCCUUUCUCUUUUCUAUGUGUUUCCAGGGGGCUGCCAAUCAGGCCGUGUUGUCCUCCAGUGCAGACCCGGACACCUGACCCAGGCUGGGCCAAAUCUAGUGCUACACCCCCCUUGCAUCUGCGCUUGCUCCAGGGGCUGCCAGAGUUGACAUCUCCUCUGUCCUCUGAUUGCAUUGAGAUGGAAAUUGCAGGUCACCAAGAGACAGACUAAUCAGAGUGUUUUGCUCUUUCUCCAUCUCUCCAAAAUCACAAUGCAAGAUUUUGCUCCUAUUGUUCCUAUUCCUACAUGAAGGUGGAUUCUUCAGUUGCUCUGAUGAGCACAGAUCCCUGGAGCCGGUAUGGUUUACCCAGUGACAGGGUCAGAUAACAAAACGUCUGCAAACAUGACCAGAAAACCACUUCAAAAGAUUGGAAUGUUAUGACCUUUUUAAUGCCUUAGGGCAGAAACAAGUCCUGUUUGUUCAUUUGUUUAUUAUCUUAUUUUAUCUUAUUUGGGACACCUAUAGGGCUUUUCACUGAUCUUUCAUAGAAACAGACAUUGGUAGGAGUUCCCAUUGUGGCUCAGGGGGUUAAGAGCCUACCAUAGUGGGCAUCCAUGAGGAUGCAGGUUUGUUCCCUGCCCUUGUUCAGAGGAUUAAGGAUCCGACGUUGCCGCAAGCUGUGGUGUAGGUCACAGCUGCAGCUCUGAUUCGACCCCUGGCCUGGGAACUUCCGUAUGCCACAUGUGUAGCCAUUAAAAAGGGGGAAAAAGAAUAAAGAAAGAAAAAAAGAAACUGACA
rnacentral:lncRNA from 1 species